CCUACGGGGGGCAGCAGUGGGGAAUAUUGGGCAAUGGGCGCAAGCCUGACCCAGCAAUGCCGCGUGAAGGAAGAAGGCUUUCGGGUUGUAAACCUCUUUUGUCAGGGACGAAGCAAGUGACGGUACCUGACGAAUAAGCCACGGCUAACUACGUGCCAGCAGUCGCGGUAAUACGUCGGUGGCAAGCGUUAUCCGGAUUUAUUGGGUGUAAAGGGUGUGUAGGCGGGAAUGCAAGUAAGAGGUGAAAACUCUGGGCUCAACCCAUAGCCUGCAUUUGAAACUGUAUUUCUUGAGUGCUGGAGAGGCAGUCGGAAUGCCGUGUGUAGCGGUGAAAUGCGUAGAUAUAC
rnacentral:rRNA from 1 species